rnacentral:rRNA from 1 species
AUUGAACGCUGGCGGCGUGCCUUAUACAUGCAAGUCGAGCGGCAGCGCGGGCUUCGGGCUGGCGUGGCGCGGCGGACGGGUGAGUAAUUCACACGUACAUGCCCUGUCGAGGAGGCUAGCACAUCGUCAGAAGUCCUAAUCUCGUACCCGUCCUGAGGGUGAAACCGGGGGAUCACUAGACCACGCGCGAUUGGCGUUGCCGUUGUCAGAUUAGCUAGUUGGUGGGGUAAAGGCCUAACAAGGCGACGAUCUGUAGCUGGUCUGAGAGGAUGAUCAGCCACACUGGGACUGAGACACGGCCCAGACUCCUACGGGAGGCAGCAGUGGGGAAUUUUGGACAAUGGGGGCAACCCUGAUCCAGCCAUUCCGCGUGAGUGAAGAAGGCCUUCGGGUUGUAAAGCUCUUUCGGCAGGAACGAAACGGUGGGCUCUAACAUAGUCCGCUAAUGACGGUACCUGAAGAAGAAGCACCGGCUAACUACGUG